UACGUAGGCAGCGAGCGUUGUUCGGAAUUACUGGGCGUAAAGAGUGUGUAGGCGGUGCUCUAAGUUCGGUGUGAAAUCUCCCGGCUUAACUGGGAGGGUGCGCCGGAAACUGGAGUGCUCGAGCGUGGGAGAGGAAAGCGGAAUUCCUGGUGUAGCGGUGAAAUGCGUAGAUAUCAGGAGGAACACCUGCGGUGUAGACGGCUUUCUGGACCAUUACUGACGCUGAGGCACGAAAGCUAGGGGAGCAAACAGG
rnacentral:rRNA from 1 species